rnacentral:tRNA from 1 species
CAGGGAGACAACAAAAUGUUUAAUAUUAUUAUUUUGUCACCUUAGGUCGAUCGGUAUCUCACGUUCUUAAUUCAUUAAGAAUUUCAUUUCCUAAGUUUUUCUAGGUCACACCCAUUAUUUUCCUGGGCCAUUAGCUCAGGUGGUUAGAGCGCACCCCUGAUAAGGGUGAGGUCCCUGGUUCAAGUCCAGGAUGGCCCAUAUCUCUAUGUUGGGGGUAUAGCUCAGUUGGUAGAGCGCCUGCUUUGCAAGCAGGAUGUCAGCGGUUCGAGUCCGCUUACCUCCACUGAUUACCACCUCUUCCAUAACCGGUAGAAGGGAAAUGUUUUGAGUUGUGAUCUAAUACUGAAAGAAUCUAGCUUCCUAAUGAAAUCAUUAAGAUGCUGGACUCAUUGAAUUAUUUUCAUUGUUUUCAGAGAACCUUGACAACUGCAUAGAUUAUUUUUAAAGACAAUAAGCAUCUUUAAUGAUGCAGAUUUAUUAUUUGUGCAAAUGCAUUAAUAACAAUUCUAUUAAGCUGAUGCUUCAAUUUUUGAAGUUAUU